rnacentral:rRNA from 1 species
AACGAACGCUGGCGGCAGGCUUAACACAUGCAAGUCGAGCGCCCCGCAAGGGGAGCGGCAGACGGGUGAGUAACGCGUGGGAAUCUACCCAUCUCUACGGAAUAACGCAUGGAAACGUGUGCUAAUACCGUAUACGUCCUUCGGGAGAAAGAUUUAUCGGAGAUGGAUGAGCCCGCGUUGGAUUAGCUAGUUGGUGGGGUAAAGGCCUACCAAGGCGACGAUCCAUAGCUGGUCUGAGAGGAUGAUCAGCCACACUGGGACUGAGACACGGCCCAGACUCGUACGGGAGGCAGCAGUGGGGAAUAUUGGACAAUGGGCGCAAGCCUGAUCCAGCCAUGCCGCGUGAGUGAUGAAGGCCCUAGGGUUGUAAAGCUCUUUCACCGGUGAAGAUAAUGACGGUAACCGGAGAAGAAGCCCCGGCUAACUUCGUGCCAGCCGCCACAGUAAUAC